GGGGGGAUCCCCCGCGGCAGCGUGCAACACCGCCGGCUCUGUCAUCAUCCUCCCAGCGCGGGAGGCAGCCGGGCGGCCCUACCUGACGAGGUCGAGGAAGGAGUCCACCGUCUUCUUGCUGGUGGCCGGCACGGCGCCCGGCAGCCCCAGGGCGGGCGCGUUGAGGGCGGAGGCGCCGGCUCCGGGUCGGAUGAUGAAGCCGAGAGCGACGGCGAGGCCGGAGGCCAGCAGCGUGGUGCCUAGGAAGUAGGCGAUGGCGAUGCCGCCCAGGCGGCCGAGCGAGCGCGUGUCCAGGCUGGCGGCCCCGGACACCAGGCUGCAGACCACCAGCGGCAGGAUGACCAUGCGCAGCAUGCGCAGCAGCAGCUCCCCGGGGAAGGCCAGGUAGGCCACCUGCGCCGGGCCCAGCGCCGCGCCGCGCACCGCGGCCCCCAACGCCACGCCGGCCACCACUCCCGACACGCCUCGUGGGCAGACCUGAAGAUCCUUACCCGGUGGCUGGGAUCUGACACUGCAGCUGCGUCCAGCACCACACCAAGCAGCUGUGCCCACCAAAGCACUGUUUGAUUUCCUUCACUGCAUUCAAAGCCCACUGUGACUUCUGUACCCAAAAGACCACUGAACGUUGUCCUCAUGUGCCUGCUCCCUUUUGCAUUGUAAAGCCCGAUGGGGAAAAACAACAUGGUGCUCCUCUUUGCCUUUAGCUUGAGGCAAAAAGAAUAUUCUAUUGGCUUUCAUAGUACUCAUUAUCAACACUCGUUACUUACUUUAAUUACUAAUAUUCAUGGAUUAUUUUAAUAAUACUCAUUUUUAUUAGUGUUCCCAUAUGCAAACUGAAAAGAUGGAGGAGAAAUUCAGGGAAGUGUGAGCAAGAAGAACAUAUGAAAUGGGAAAAUCCAUCUGUAGCAGCACACUGUAUGAGACAAGUACAAGAGUUAGAACAGGGCCUUUUCUACAUUGUGAAUCCAUAGCAGGAUCCUGCUCUCCUAGAGGGUGUUUUUGUGAUCUUGUGGUGUUGGCUCUGCUCAGAGCAGUACUGGGGGAACCAUCAGACAACAUGUACAUGUAAGCAUAUACUCACCCCGAAAUCUUAGGUCCUACUACAUGCUUUUUAACCUAUGCUAUGGCUUGUAGGUCACAGCUGACCUUUGGGAAGAACAGCUCACCCUAGGGAUGCAUGUAUUAAUCUUCCUGCUCCUGACGUUACGAGAGUUCAUAUUCUCAAUAUCUUCUCCCUUUUUUUCCACUUCAUUUUCUUAUUCCAACAGCCUUCUGAACAAUUAUGCUUCUUCUCUUUGCAUUUCUUCAGGUGACGAGACUUUCACCAGGCGGAAAACAAUACAGCAUGUGAUCCUCCCACCAUAUGAAUGAACAUCAUCCCUCCCCCCAAGAGAAAACAAUCCAGAAAAGCUCUAGGCAGAACUAACAGUGUUUCUGCACUCUGUGAGAGCUCAUGGAUGGCUGCAGCGAUUAACAUUGAAGCCUGCUGAUUUAUUCAGUAGUAAGUGCUGACUGAUCUGUUGUGUCAUGUUUUCAUUUCAGCACUUGUAGGUAUUGGUAGCAUUCCAGUGAAUGAGGUCGCAUGUUUCCAGUGUCCACCCUCCCUGGCACUUCUAAGUUAGGAUUUCUGACUUCCCCUACUGGGACUGGAAGUAUUUUUUUGGUCUUAGAGAGCUUUCACCUGCACGAGGCCAGAGCCCUUCUUCCUGCAAACAUCAGAGGGAUCAUAAGUAGGCAAAAACAAACAGGCAAACAAGCAGUUCAUUCUAAACAAGACCAAAUUUCCUUUGCUUUGGUUGAGGAGAGCCAACAUAGUUUUCAACACUGGCCCAGGAAUGAAGAAGUCCUGCUGUUUUUUAGUCAAUUUCUGCCUGAUAUCAUUUUUUGAUGAUUAUUUCCAAUUCCAGUCUCACUGGAGGGAACAAACAAAAACCCAGCAGCUGAAGUAGAAUCAACUCCUUCUCCUCCAGUUUUUAGCUCUAAGCAAGCAGGGUACAGGGUUUAUUUUGAACCAGGGUUUAUUUUGAACCAUUUUAUUUUGAACCAGGAAAAAAAAAACCACCAAAAGUCCUCCCUUGUUUAGAGAAGUUGAUUCAGAAACUCCCUGAUGAAAGAUUUCCAGUUCCUUUUUCCUCCUGUUCAUCCACUCUCAGUAUUAAUGUUCACCGCAGUCUUGCUGCACAUCAGUGGGAUGGACACCUAGGGUGGGAUUUAUGUAAUCUAGAAGUUUAAUUCCUACACCAGGCAAAACUUGCUUUUUCCAUUGUUCACACUCCCUUCUGAAAGAGGCAGAUGAGAUACAGUUCCCAUGGAGGUGUCUACCACGCUCCACUGAGUACAGGCAAGACCUAGAAGAUUAGCUUAGGAUACCUAGAUUUCUGAUAUUUUCUGUCAUGCCAACCCCUCACAACUCACAUCAAUACUGUAGAAAUUGUUUUCCUCCCCUCUGUACAUUCAUCCCUCCUUACACAAUCAAGAUGAGCUUUCUGCUCUCAGAACAGAUGUAAGAUGGCACCGGAAUUAUAUCCUACCUUCUUUCUGUCCUGUCCUCUAAAAUAUAAGUGUACUUUGACUCUGGGGACACCCACAUCUGGAGCGAACUCUGAGCUUCGUGGUGGCCCCUGUAAAAGAUCAAACCUCUGAAGGGCUGUGAUGUCUGCAGAAAGUCACAUUUGACUGUGAACUUCACAGUGCUGCUCAUCUCAGCCAGAAAUGAAGGUCUUAAAGCCGGAUUCUGCUCUGUACUUCCAUGGAUUUACUAUAUAGUAUCUAUCUGUCUCGCAUAUGUUAGGUGUUAUUAUAUGCUACUGCAAAGCAUGCACAUACUGCACCACAGGUGACAGAUCCGUUUGAGAGAGAAAAGUACACAAAAUGAAGAAGUGAUUGCUAGACCCUCAGGGCUUCGUGUUCUGGGAUGGUGAUAAAAGGCCUGGUGGACACUUCUUCCAUCUCACAGGGUAACAUCAAUAUAUUCAAAGUCGUUAUCCAGUGGCAUUGGUUUUAGAGGGUGGAGAAGCCUGCUAGAAACCAAGGAGAAAGUUUCACGGAGGAGAAACUUCUCUGCACCUGAGGAAGGCUGACAGAAAGUCUGAAAGAAUUUUCUUUGCUAGAGGAGGAAGCAAAUGAAAGAGGAGGAAGAGUUGUUUGCAGCACCUUGAGUCUCAUGGUUGCUACAUGCCUUGUUGGCACCCCAUGGCCACCCUUGGGCCAUGUUUCCUACAAAGCUGUGUGCCAGUUGCGUGCAACGAGCACUAAUUGUGCCACCUCCGCUUCCUUCUUUCCUCCUGCAGGCAGGCCCUCUGUGUAUGGCCAGCAAGAUUGUUGGCAGCCCUCAGAGCUUUCCUGGGUGGGAGAAAUCUUCAGCUGCACAGAUGUGGCUGCUGUUUAGCCUCUGACUUUCCGAGACCUAACAGAAACAUGUCUCUGUGGGAUUAGAACUGUAUCAUCAAUCCAAUGCCUGUGACUGCUUUGAUUUGAAGCAGUUUGAAGACCAAUGCCUCAAAGUCAUGGUGGGCGGAGGAGGGAGUGAGAUGAAAGGGAAGAGGGCAGGAAGGGGUUGCUGGUAUAUUUUUGCUUUUUGAUUGAAGCUUGAACAUAGGAGCCCCAAAACAUCUCAGCUGAGAUGUUCUGGGCAGCUCACAGUGUCCCAAGGGGCCAUGUAACAGAGCAGCCUUUUUCUGAGAAGCAUGCAUGAAAAGCAUGUGGGAGAGAGCAUGUUGUCCACGAGUCCUCAGCAGAGCUGUUACGGCCAGCCUUCCGAGGCAGGAAGGCUUUCAGCACUGCCUUGGUAUGCAGACUUUAGCUUGGCAAGGAGACUUUGUUAAGCCAGGGCUGCUGAGCAAUUUAUCGUCUGCCUCUUGGUUAUGCCAGGUCCUGAGACUGCUCCUCAGAUCCCUCUGCGUAUAGGUUGCUGCCCACCAACUGAGGUAACCCAGUCCCAGAUGUAAGCCUAUUACAGCAUCACAUAUGGAUUCACCGUCUUCCCAGGCUCGGUUGGAUAUCAGGCCUGAUAGAAAAUACUCUGCGUGAAAAAAACAGGCUUUUGUGAGUCCACUUUACAAUAGCAGAGGCAGGCAGGGAAUUCUGCACACACCGCUUGCUUGCCCAAACUCCAACAAAACAUAAACUCUGCAGAUAGGGGUGAUUGAGCCAGGGUAAAUAUUUAACUUUAUUUUCCAAAGGCACAUGCAGCUUUGCCAACAAGAUGAAAAAUAUAGAAUAAGACCCUCACAUGCACAUUACCUUGUUUAUUACAGGGCUCCUUUGAAUGGUCUGGAAAUAAAGCAAUAUUGAACCAGGAGUAAACUCAAAA